rnacentral:lncRNA from 1 species
CGGAGACAAAUCAUUCAGUAAAAUAUUUUACAGUUUAAUCACUUUUUAUUUCGUGAUAACGAUCUAUGAUACUGAUUAAAGUGCAUGAGGAAAUGAACGGAGGUACCAAAGUUCCGUUCGUCCUUAACUGCCAUGCAUGUGGGAACAGUGACUAUUAACGAGAGCAAACUCUAAAGGAUGACAAGAACACUGGAUUUGGAGGGAGAAGACCUGACUUGAUGAGAUUUUACAUCUACGAAAAGAAAGGUUUAGACAAACUGAAUUUGAAGACCUCCUUCAGAUAAGAAAUUCUCAGACUCUUAUGUGUUUCCUUUGGAGUAAUGGAGAGAGACAUUCAAGUACAAAUAUCCAAUAUAUGUUUGGAGAUAAAAGAAUCAUCUGGAAAUGUAGAGAAGUUGGAGAUGCCGAG